rnacentral:rRNA from 1 species
UACGAAGGGGGCUAGCGUUGCUCGGAAUCACUGGGCGUAAAGGGCGCGUAGGCGGCGUUUUAAGUCGGGGGUGAAAGCCUGUGGCUCAACCACAGAAUGGCCUUCGAUACUGGGACGCUUGAGUAUGGUAGAGGUUGGUGGAACUGCGAGUGUAGAGGUGAAAUUCGUAGAUAUUCGCAAGAACACCGGUGGCGAAGGCGGCCAACUGGACGAUUACUGACGCUGAGACUCGAAAGCGUGGGGAGCAAACAGG